rnacentral:rRNA from 1 species
CUCAACCAUGGGGUUGUAUUUAAAACUGCUAGGCUUGAGUAUAGGAGAGGAGAGUGGAAUUCCCAGUGUAGCGGUGAAAUGCGUAGAUAUUGGGAGGAACACCGGUGGCGAAGGCGGCUUUCUGGACUAAUACUGACGCUGAGGCGCGAAAGCCAGGGGAGCGAACGGGAUUAGAUACCCCGGUAGUCCUGGCUGUAAACGAUGGACACUAGGUGUGGGAGGUAUCGAAUCCUUCCGUGCCGGAGCUAACGCAUUAAGUGUCCCGCCUGGGGAGUACGUUCGCAAGAAUGAAACUCAAAGGAAUUGACGGGGGCCCGCACAAGCGGUGGAGCAUGUGGUUUAAUUCGAAGCAACGCGAAGAACCUUACCGGGGUUUGACAUAUAGUUGACGUCACUAGAGAUAGUGAUUUCCCUUUUGGGACGG